AACGAACGCUGGCGGCAUGCCUAACACAUGCAAGUCGAACGAGAUCUUCGGGUCUAGUGGCGCACGGGUGCGUAACGCGUGGGAAUCUGCCCUUUGGUUCGGAAUAACAGUUGGAAACGACUGCUAAUACCGGAUGAUGACGAAAGUCCAAAGAUUUAUCGCCAGAGGAUGAGCCCGCGUAGGAUUAGCUAGUUGGUGUGGUAAAGGCGCACCAAGGCGACGAUCCUUAGCUGGUCUGAGAGGAUGAUCAGCCACACUGGGACUGAGACACGGCGCAGACUCCUACGGGAGGCAGCAGUGGGGAAUAUUGGACAAUGGGCGAAAGCCUGAUCCAGCAAUGCCGCGUGAGUGAUGAAGGCCUUAGGGUUGUAAAGCUCUUUUACCCGGGAUGAUAAUGACAGUACCGGGAGAAUAAGCUCCGGCUAACUCCGUGCCAGCCGCCGCGGUAA
rnacentral:rRNA from 1 species